rnacentral:rRNA from 1 species
UACGUAGGGAGCAAGCGUUGUCCGGAUUUAUUGGGCGUAAAGAGCUCGUAGGCGGUUCCGUAAGUCGGGUGUGAAAAAUCUGGGCUCAACCCAGUGGAGCACUCGAUACUGCGGUGACUCGAGUCCGGUAGGGGAGUGUGGAAUUCCUGGUGUAGCGGUGAAAUGCGCAGAUAUCAGGAGGAACACCGACGGCGAAGGCAGCACUCUGGGCCGGUACUGACGCUGAGGAGCGAAAGCGUGGGGAGCGAACAGG